rnacentral:rRNA from 1 species
AUUGAACGCUGGCGGCGUGGAUUAGGCAUGCAAGUCGGACGGUAGGGCUUUAUCGUAAGAUAGAGUUUGAGAGUGGCGAACGGGUGAGUAACACGUAGGAAUCUACCCUUAAGACGGGGACAACCCAGGGAAACUUGGGCUAAUACCGGAUGAGAGUGCGAGAGAUUGCAUUUAAAAGGAUGGCGAAAGUUGUCGCUUAGGGAUGAGCCUGCGGUCUAUUAGUUAGUUGGUGAGGUAAGAGCUCACCAAGGCGAUGAUAGAUAGGCGGCCUUAACGGGUGGUCGCCCACACUGGGAUUGAGAUACGGCCCAGACUCCUACGGGAGGCAGCAGUGGGGAAUUUUGGACAAUGGGGGCAACCCUGAUCCAGCCAUGCCGCGUGAGUGAAGAAGGCCUCGGUUGUAAGCUCUUCUAGCCGGGAAGAAACGACACUCUCUAAUAUAGGUGUGGAUGACGGUACCGGAAGAAGAAGACACCGGCUAACUACGUGCCAGCAGCCGCGGUAAAGCUACGU